AUUUCCUUUUAAAAACACAUCCACAAACGAUACAGAGAAGAUCAGCAUGGCCCCUGUGCAAAGAUGACAUACACAUUCAUGAAGUGGUCCAUAUUUCU
rnacentral:snRNA from 1 species